CCAGCACCGCCCCGGCCCACAGCACGACGCGCCGCUGGCCCCUCGGCCGACCACGGCCUGGUGGGCUGACAGCCUCGGCCACCCGGGGGGCAUUUCUGCAGCCUGGGACUUCUUUCUUGAGUCUCUACAUCACAAGUGAACUGAGCUACUCUUCCAAGAUCCUCAUCAUAUUUACGUUCACUAACGAAGUGCUGGAGAAAAAGACGGUAACAACGAAAAAACCUCCAGCCACAUCGGUCAUCUUCUUGAGAAGUUCUGCUUUCUUUUGCCUGCUGAGCAAAAUGUCCACUGUCGAAGAAAAAGGAGCAUGAAUCUUAUGCUGCUGCUAAAUGAGAUAAAGAACCAGAAGUCUAAGCCCUGCAGUGUGUAUGCAGACAGCCAAGGGCUUAGCUGACCACCCAUCCAGAAAAGUGAAAAUACUGAAGGCCCAGUUUCUACCUUGGGGGUCUCUGAAGGCAGUUAAAAGAUAAACAUUUCUUAUGAAUCAAA